rnacentral:rRNA from 1 species
AUGGAUAAAAUGGACUUUUCUUCUGUUAAACUGAAACGAAAUAGAAAUCACUACGGAACGCGAUCCCCUUUGUCAGUUCCCACCGGAAAUUUCUCCGCUCGCCGCUCGCUUCUCGUGGCCGCCGCCGCCGCCGUCUGCGCCAUGCUCCGCCUCCUGAAGAGCAUCCUCACCCAACAGCUCUCCUCCCCCUCCGCCUCCACCAUACCCCCUUUCUUCUCCCUCCGCCUCCUCUCAACCGCGGUGCCCCAAGUUCUUGCAAACCCCGGCGCCGGCGGCUUCGCUGUCCAAGACUACCUCGUCGCCACCUGCGGCCUGACCCGAGCGCGAGCGCUCAAGGCGUCCACGAGACUCUCCCACCUCAACUCCCCCACCAAACCCGACGCCGUCCUCGCCUUCCUCACCGGCCUCGGCUUCUCCAGGGCCGACGUCCCCGCCGCCGUGGCGAGGAACCCCAGUUUACUCUGCACCAAAGUGGAGGGGACCCUCUCCCCCAUCGUCGCCGGGCUCACCGGCCUCGGCCUGUCGCACUCCGAGAUCGCGCGCCUCGCCUCGCUCACCGACUACUGCCUCCGCACCAAAUCCGUGGUGGCCAAGCUGCGCUACUACCACCACCUCUUCGGCUCCUCCGACAAGCUCCUCCGGGUGCUCAAGGUCAGCCCAUGCCUUCUCUCCUCGAGCGUCGGGACGGUGGUCGAGCCCAACGUCGCGUUCCUGCGGGAGUGCGGGGUACCUGUUCGACAUAUUGCCUCGCUGUGCGUCAAUGUGCCGAGGCUUCUGACCACCAACCCCGAGCGCGUCCGGGCGAUGGCAGCGUGCGCCGAAGCUGUAGGCGUGCCCCGCGGCUCCGGGAUGUUUAGGGAAGCGCUGCAGGCCGUCGCGUUCCUCAGCGAGGAGGAGAUCGCCGCCAAACUGGACUACUUGAAGAGCACGUUCAGGUGGUCCGAUGCCGAGGUGCGCAUUGCUCUGUCUAGGUAUCCAUCAUUGGUGAGGAGAUCAAAGGGCAUGCUCCUGCGUAAGUCCGAGUUCCUUAUCUCUGAGGUGGGGUUGGAACCGGCCUACAUAGCUCGUCUGCUGGUAAUGCUCUGUCUUAGCCUGGAAGGCCGGCUCAGGCCCAGGUACGACGUUAUAAUGUUUCUAAUGGCAAAUGGAUUGCUCAAGCGCGUCCCCAAGUACUAUCCAGUCUUCAAGGCAACCGAGAAGGCAUUCUUUGAGGCGUAUAUAUGCCCUCAUAAGGAAGCUGCGCCGCACCUCGCUGAGUACUAUGCCACAGCUUGCCGAGGGGAAGUGCCCACUGGAUUCACAUUGACAGGAACCAAGAAUGGGCUAUGA